rnacentral:lncRNA from 1 species
AAGGUUACUAGUUCGGUUUUUCAUUGGAGGUUUUUGGAAGAUCAAGGGAAUUAGAGAGAGGAGCUUCAUGCUUCGGGUCGGGGAAGGAAAGACAUAGAAUUUGGAUUUUUCUUCUUCGUAGAGUUUUGGGACGACUGAGGCAAUCGCUGCUGAAGUCAGUGUUGUAAUGGUGAAUCGGGAUUUUUAAAUGAAGUGGGUUUGAAUACUCUUGACUGUUUUAUAAAAUCGAGUUACGUCUGUGAUUGAAGGAUUAAAGGAGUGUCUAUAGGAUUGAGUAUGCGGAGUGAAUGAAAUUUAUUGGGUUAAUCUAACAGGAUAGUCAGUGGAUACAAGAUCGUAAGUACAAAGGGGUAUUGAAGAUUAACAGUUUGGGUUG